AUGGCUCAAGCCCAUCCUCGGUUCAAAGUGCAUUCAGUAGUGCACGGUCCUCCCGCCCUAGAACACUGGUGGUUUAAGACCAUACCACCGCCCGGAUCUUUCUGGCCAAUCAGGAGCCACGUCCUCCGGCGCCCUCCUUUCCUGCCCCGCCCCCUCCCGUCUCCAUGGGAACGCUCUGAGUGUCCAGUCCGAGGCCUGAGGCUUUGGUUUUGGUCAAGCAGGGUGGCAGACGUUGUUUGGACGGAGUAUUUGAGUUGGUCCCUGUUCCUCUCCAGAGGCUCGGUAGGUGACGCGGACUCUCAGGAGCACAUAACCAGAAGCAGACAAGGACGAGAAGAGCUGUGGCAGAAGAGAGAGGGCCAGGUGUCGAGAAGUCGCUCAGGCUUAGAAAUCUAGGACUCGCCUGUAGGGACCUGUGAUCCGCAAGGGAGGGCCAGAGUGGCAAAGACUAAUGCCCCCAUUUUACAGGUGAGGAAAGUGAGGUCCUAGGAGGUCUAGAAGUUUUGUCUUUUUCAGAGUUCUACAAGUAGUUGGUGGGAUUAUGAUCACGUC
rnacentral:lncRNA from 1 species